rnacentral:rRNA from 1 species
CCUACGGGUGUCAGCAGUGAGGAAUAUUGGUCAAUGGUCGGGAGACUGACCCAGCCAAGCCGCGUGAGGGAUGAAGGUACAGAGUAUCGUCAACCUCUUUUGUCCGGGAACAAAGGCGGGGACGUGUCCCCGGAUGAGUGUACCUGAAGAAAAAGCAUCGGCUAACUCCGUGCCAGCAGCCGCGGUAAAACGGAGGCUGCGAGCGUUAUCCGGAUUUAUGGGGUUUAAAGGGUGCGAGGUCGGUCUGUUACGUAAGCGGUCACAGCCCGGGGCUCAACCCCGGCCCGCCGUGGGAACUGGCAGUCUCGAGUUGGAGAGAAGUAUGCGGAAUGCGCGGUGUAGCGGUGAAAUGCAUAG